UAACGCGUAGGUAACCUACCUCAUAGCGGGGGAUAACUAUUGGAAACGAUAGCUAAUACCGCAUAAGAGAGACUAACGCAUGUUAGUAAUUUAAAAGGGGCAAUUGCUCCACUAUGAGAUGGACCUGCGUUGUAUUAGCUAGUUGGUGAGGUAAAGGCUCACCAAGGCGACGAUACAUAGCCGACCUGAGAGGGUGAUCGGCCACACUGGGACUGAGACACGGCCCAG
rnacentral:rRNA from 1 species